CAAAACUGAUACUAAUUAGUUUUAAGAAUGUUACAGCUUAUAUUCUUUGGCUUUAGAAGUGGUUUUUGGAAAAUAAUGACUGACAAAAUUAUAAAUGACUUCAACGAAAAUAAUCAUUCAAGAAUCUUAGAAAUGAUGAGAAAAAAAUGCAAAUGU